rnacentral:rRNA from 1 species
AGUGGCGGACGGGUGAGUAACGCGUGAGAAUCUGCCUUGGGGUCGGGGACAACCACUGGAAACGGUGGCUAAUACCGGAUAAGCCAAUUGGUGAAAGAUUUAUUGCCCGAAGAGGAGCUCGCGUCUGAUUAGCUAGUUGGUGAGGUAAGAGCUCACCAAGGCAGCGAUCAGUAGCUGGUCUGAGAGGACGAUCAGCCACACUGGGACUGAGACACGGCCCAGACUCCUACGGGAGGCAGCAGUGGGGAAUUUUCCGCAAUGGGCGAAAGCCUGACGGAGCAAGACCGCGUGAGGGAGGAAGGCUCUUGGGUUGUAAACCUCUUUUCUCAGGGAAGAAGCUCUGACGGUACCUGAGGAAUCAGCCUCGGCUAACUCCGUGCCAGCAGCCGCGGUAAUACGGAGGAGGCAAGCGUUAUCCGGAAUUAUUGGGCGUAAAGCGUCCGCAGGUGGCGAUUCAAGUCUGCUGUCAAAGCACGGGGCUUAACUCCGUAAAGGCAGUGGAAACUGAAUAGCUAGAGUGCCGUAGGGGUAGAGGGAAUUCCCGGUGUAGCGGUGAAAUGCGUAGAGAUCGGGAAGAACAUCGGUGGCGAAAGCGCUCUACUGGACGGCAACUGACACUCAGGGACGAAAGCUAGGGGAGCGAAUGGGAUUAGAUACCCC